AUGAGCGAAUCAAGCUCAAAGUCCAGCCAGCCUUUGGCUUCCAAACAGGAAAAGGAUGGCACUGAGAAGAGAGGUCGGGGUAGGCCACGCAAACAACCUCCGAAGGAGCCCAGCGAAGUGCCAACACCUAAGAGACCUCGGGGCCGACCAAAGGCAAGCAAAGACAAGGGUGCUGCCAAGACCCGGAAAACCACCACAGCUCCAGGGAGGAAACCAAGAGGCAGACCCAAAAAAACUGGAGAAGGAGGAAGAAGAAGGCAUCUCGCAGGAGUCCUCCAAGGAGGAGCAGUGA